rnacentral:sRNA from 1 species
AUGCCUAUAACGUCAAGCCCCGAUCUGUUCUAUCUCAAUGACUGUGAUGUCGUCUAUUGGUAUGACCUCACUCGCUUAGUGUGUCAUUAUGUUAAUUUAACAGAGCGCGACCUAUUGGCAAAUGAACGGGAAAAGUUUCUAACUUCCUUGGAUUUACUAACAGCUCAAAUAACCUAUGUUUAUAUGCUUUUCAGGAAUCUCCGUUUAGUCGAAGAUAAUUUCAAAAAAACCCUCAAAAAACUAAUUUACACCUUGUCUAGGUUUUCAAUAAAUGCAAAUAUUUGGUUUCAUUCCACAUUGUUUGAAGAAAGAGAAGCCAUAGCCUCCCAGAAGGAUCCAGAAAGAAGAUCCCCUCUUCUACAGUCAAUCCUAGGAACCUUCCAAAAAUUUCAUUUUCUACUGCGUUUACUACAUUUCCUCUCAAAUCCUAACGAACUUACAAUACUGCCUCAAUUGACUCCUCGAUUUUUCAAGGAUUCUUUCAAUACAAUUUCAUGGAAUAACCCGUUUUUGCGUAAGCGUCUCAACCAGCAUAUGUCCCAUGACCUACCGAGACAGAUGAUUAAAGCCGUUGCUGGUGCUUCAGGAAUUGUUGCGGAAAAUAUUGAUGAAAUUCCAGCUUCCAAACAGGGCACUUCAUGCUCGUCAGAAACGUCUCACCAUUCACCAUCAGCCCCGUUUCAAAGAAGGAGAAGAGGUACCAUUUUCUCUAAUGUGUCAGGAAGUUCCGAUGAGUCUGACACCAUAUGGUCCAAAAGGAAAAAACCAUACCCGCUAAAUGAAGAAACUCUAAGCCUUGUAAGGGCCAGGAAGAAGCAGCUUGAUGGUAAACUAAAACAAAUGAUCAAAAGUGCUAAUGAAUAUCUCAGUAACACGGCUAAUUUUUCAAAAAUGUUGAAUUUUGAAAUGAAUUUCAAAACCUACGAAGAAGUAAGCGGAACAAUUCCUAUAAUUGAUAUUCUGGAAAACCUAGAUUUAACUAUUUUUCUAAACUUGAGAGAGUUGGGAGAUGAGAAUAGAGUUUUUGACGAAGAUGUCGCUAUUGAUGAUGAAGAUGAAGAGUUUUUGAAACAUUCUUUAUCAUCCCUAUCGUAUAUCUUAUCCGACUAUUUUAAUAUGAAGCAAUAUUUUCAUGAUGUAGUAGUGAAAUUUAUAAUUGUCGCCCAGCAUUUGACAUUAGAGGAUCCUUUCGUUUUCUCGCCAAUGCAAAACGACUUGCCUACCGGUUAUUAUGAACCAAUGAAACCUUCAUCCUUGAAUUUAGAUAAUGCCAAGGAUAAGAAGAAUGGGAGCCAAAAUACUGAUAUCCAAGAGGAGGAAGAUGAAUAUGAGCCAGACCCGGAUAGUCUUAUUCUCUUCCACAACCUCAUCAAUCAAGAUUCUGAUUUCAAUGAUUUAAAGUUUUUUAAUCUCGCCCACGUUUUUAAAAAAUCCUGUGAUGACUAUUUUGAUGUGCUUAAACUAGCCAUUGAGUUCGUGAAUCAAUUAAUUCUAGAAAGAGAGAAUUUGUUAAAUUAUGCUGCUAGAAUGAUGAAAAACAAUAUCACGGAAUUGCUAUUGCGCGGGGAAGAAGGCUAUGGGUCCUAUGACGGCGGUGAAACUGCCGAAAAAAGUGACACGAAUGCUGUUUAUGCAGAUUCAGAUACUAAAGACAAUGACGAAUGGCGUGACAGCCAAGUCAAAUUACCGAGGUAUUUGCAGCGCAAGUAUGACAGUGAACUGAUUUGGGGCUCUAACAAUAGGAUUAAAGGUGGUUCUAAACACGCACUGAUCUCUUACUUGACAGAUAAUGAAAAGAAGGAUCUAUUUUUCGAUAUUACUUUUUUAAUCACUUUCAGAAGCAUCUUUACUACAACGGAGUUUUUAAGCUACUUGAUCUCGCAAUAUAAUUUGGAUCCACCAGAGGAUUUGUGCUUUGAAGAAUACAAUGAAUGGGUGACGAAAAAGCUUAUACCGGUUAAAUGUAGGGUGGUUGAGAUUAUGACAACCUUUUUCAAGCAAUAUUGGUUCCUGGGCUAUGAUGAGCCCGAUCUUGCGACCCUAAAUCUGGAUUAUUUUGCGCAAGUAGCAAUCAAGGAAAAUAUAACAGGAUCUGUGGAAUUACUAAAGGAGGUCAAUCAGAAGUUUAAACAUGGUAAUAUACAAGAAGCGACUGCACCAAUGAAAACGUUAGAUCAACAGAUCUGCCAGGACCAUUACUCGGGCACUUUAUACUCUACCACGGAAUCCAUUUUGGCCGUCGAUCCAGUUUUAUUUGCCACUCAAUUAACGAUACUAGAGCAUGAAAUUUAUUGUGAGAUAACCAUUUUUGAUUGUUUACAAAAAAUUGGAAGAACAAGUAUACAAAAUCGUAUGGGGCUUCACCGGGUUUGAACGAGUUUAUCAGUUUUGCCAAUAAACUGACAAAUUUCAUAUCCUACUCUGUUGUAAAGGAGGCUGAUAAAAGUAAGCGCGCCAAGCUACUCUCUCAUUUUAUUUUUAUCGCAGAAUAUUGUAGGAAAUUCAAUAACUUUUCUUCCAUGACUGCAAUCAUUUCAGCAUUAUAUUCUUCACCAAUUUAUCGUUUAGAGAAAACCUGGCAGGCAGUUAUUCCUCAAACGAGAGAUCUAUUGCAGUCACUGAACAAGUUGAUGGAUCCCAAGAAAAAUUUCAUAAAUUACAGAAACGAGCUGAAGUCUUUACUUAGCGCUCCCUGCGUACCGUUUUUCGGCGUUUAUUUAUCUGAUCUAACCUUUACUGAUUCCGGAAAUCCGGAUUAUCUUGUCUUGGAACAUGGUUUAAAGGGUGUCCAUGAUGAGAAGAAAUAUAUAAACUUCAACAAAAGGAGCAGACUUGUUGAUAUCUUACAAGAGAUCAUAUAUUUCAAGAAAACACAUUAUGAUUUCACUAAAGAUCGGACGGUAAUUGAAUGUAUAUCAAAUUCAUUGGAAAACAUCCCCCAUAUUGAGAAACAAUACCAAUUAUCAUUAAUUAUUGAACCAAAACCAAGAAAGAAAGUCGUUCCGAAUUCCAAUUCGAAUAAUAAAUCACAAGAAAAAUCCAGGGAUGACCAAACCGAUGAAGGAAAAACAUCCACUAAGAAAGACAGAUUUCCAAAAUUUCAAUUACAUAAGACAAAGAAAAAAGCUCCCAAGGUUUCUAAGUAA